AGAGUUUGAUCCUGGCUCAGAUUGAACGCUGGCGGCAUGCCUUACACAUGCAAGUCGAACGGUAACAGGCCGCAAGGUGCUGACGAGUGGCGAACGGGUGAGUAAUGCAUCGGAACGUGCCCAGUAGUGGGGGAUAGCCCGGCGAAAGCCGGAUUAAUACCGCAUACGACCUACGGGUGAAAGCGGGGGACCGAAAGGCCUCGCGCUAUUGGAGCGGCCGAUGUCAGAUUAGGUAGUUGGUGGGGUAAAGGCCUACCAAGCCUACGAUCUGUAGCUGGUCUGAGAGGACGACCAGCCACACUGGGACUGAGAUACGGCCCAGACUCCUACGGGAGGCAGCAGUGGGGAAUUUUGGACAAUGGGCGCAAGCCUGAUCCAGCCAUGCCGCGUGCGGGAAGAAGGCCUUCGGGUUGUAAACCGCUUUUGUCAGGGAAGAAAUCUUCUGGGUUAAUACCUCGGGAGGAUGACGGUACCUGAAGAAUAAGCACCGGCUAACUACGUGCCAGCAGCCGCGGUAAU
rnacentral:rRNA from 1 species